rnacentral:rRNA from 1 species
CGAUGUCUACUUGGAGGUUGUGCCCUUGAGGCGUGGCUUCCGGAGCUAACGCGUUAAGUAGACCGCCUGGGGAGUACGGCCGCAAGGUUAAAACUCAAAUGAAUUGACGGGGGCCCGCACAAGCGGUGGAGCAUGUGGUUUAAUUCGAUGCAACGCGAAGAACCUUACCUGGUCUUGACAUCCACAGAACUUUCCAGAGAUGGACUGGUGCCUUCGGGAACUGUGAGACAGGUGCUGCAUGGCUGUCGUCAGCUCGUGUUGUGAAAUGUUGGGUUAAGUCCCGCAACGAGCGCAACCCUUAUCCUUUGUUGCCAGCGGUCCGGCCGGGAACUCAAAGGAGACUGCCAGUGAUAAACUGGAGGAAGGUGGGGAUGACGUCAAGUCAUCAUGGCCCUUACGACCAGGGCUACACACGUGCUACAAUGGCGCAUACAAAGAGAAGCGACCUCGCGAGAGCAAGCGGACCUCAUAAAGUGCGUCGUAGUCCGGAUUGGAGUCUGCAACUCGACUCCAUGAAGUCGGAAUCGCUAGUAAUCGUGGAUCAGAAUGCCACGGUGAAUACGUUCCCGGGCCUUGUACACACCGCCCGUCACACCAUGGGAGUGGGUUGCAAAAGAAGUAGGUAGCUUAACCUUCGGGAGGGCGCUUACCACUUUGUGAUUCAUGACUGGGGUGAAGUCGUAACAAGGUAACCGUAGGGGAACCUGCGGUUGGAUCACCUCCUUACCUUAAAGAAGC